rnacentral:rRNA from 1 species
AUUGAACGCUGGCGGCAUGCUUUACACAUGCCAGUCGAACGGCAGCGCGGGCUUCGGCCUGGCGGCGAGUGGCGAACGGGUGAGUAAUGCAUCGGAACGUGCCCAGUAGUGGGGGAUAGCCCGGCGAAAGCCGGAUUAAUACCGCAUACGACCUGAGGGUGAAAGCGGGGGACCGAAAGGCCUCGCGCUAUUGGAGCGGCCGAUGUCUGAUUAGCUAGUUGGUGGGGUAAAGGCUUACCAAGGCGACGAUCCGUAGCUGGUCUGAGAGGACGACCAGCCACACUGGGACUGAGACACGGCCCAGACUCCUACGGGAGGCAGCAGUGGGGAAUUUUGGACAAUGGGGGCAACCCUGAUCCAGCCAUGCCGCGUGCGGGAAGAAGGCCUUCGGGUUGUAAACCGCUUUUGUUCGGGAAGAAAUCCUCUGGGCUAAUACCCCGGGGGGAUGACGGUACCGGAAGAAUAAGCACCGGCUAACUACGUG